GGAGGGUUAGCUGAGUGGUACAGAUUGCGUGCCUAGCAUGCACGAGGUCCUGGGUUCAAUCUCCAGUACCUCCA
rnacentral:tRNA from 1 species